CCUACGGGUGGCAGCAGUAGGGAAUAUUGCUCAAUGGGGGAAACCCUGAUGCAGCGACGCCGCGUGGAGGAUGAAGGUUUUCGGAUUGUAAACUCCUUUUGUUAGAGAAGAUAAUGACGGUAUCUAACGAAUAAGCACCGGCUAACUCCGUGCCAGCAGCCGCGGUAAUACGGAGGGUGCAAGCGUUACUCGGAAUCACUGGGCGUAAAGAGCGCGGAGGCGGGAUAGCAAGUCAGAUGUGAAAUCCUAUGGCUUAACCAUAGAACUGCAUUUGAAACUGUUAUUCUAGAGUAUGGGAGAGGUAGGUGGAAUUCUUGGUGUAGGGGUAAAAUGCGUAGAGAUCAAGAAGAAUACUGAUUGCGAAGGCGACCUGCUAGAACAUAACUGACGCUGAUGCGCGAAAGCGUGGGGAGCAAACAGGAUUAGAUACCCCUGUAGUC
rnacentral:rRNA from 1 species